rnacentral:lncRNA from 12 species
CGAGUGUCCUGUUUAUGUCCAUGCAAACGAACUUGUGGCCGGUGCCAGAGCCGGUAAGUUCCGUGGCGCACCCGAGGAGCUGAGGAUGGCAGCUGAAGGAAGGCAGCGUCCUCCUGGCCGUGCAACUGACACCAGGGGCUGAGGAGCAGGGACACCUCCAUGGGCCCGGCUUUCUGCAGUAAAGAAACUCCAAAAACUUGAUCCAAAUUUCAGAGCAAUCACACCUCCCCGAGGUCUGGUCUGGAUGGAAACCAAUGUGCCAAAACCCGCGACUGCUUGUGAUCGUUCUCCUCUCUAACCGGAGCUUCUCGCGUUGCUUCCAGAGUUAGCUGUAGGAAGGAAUUCUGCACCCUCCCUGCCUGAAACACUCAGUCCCACACAUUUGAAAAGGCUGCUCAGGAGUAUCACAUGCCUACGGAGUGAAGCUGGGACAGCUGCCAUCAACAACAGCAGGCUCUUCCUGAGGUUCUGUGGGACUGCACUGCUCUCCUGGCAGCUGAAUUGUUUGCUGCUUGGAGCCAACACGUGUGUUCCCAGACUUGCUACAAGGUUCUGCCAGUUCUCCUAUGGGAAGCUAAGGCACAGUCACCCUUGUGUUCAACACAGACAUCACCAUGUUGUGAUUGGAAACCUCAAGAGUUGGAGCCAGGUCAGUCUUUCCAGGGUUGAACUGGAACUCUUGUUCACGUCAAACCCUUCUCAAAUGCUUCAGUUCUGAAUGGUCUUACAGAGAACACAACUGCAUGUAAAAACAGGAAAAUCUUAAAUUACCAGAAGUCACUUGGUUUGAGUGGUUGUUUCUUGCUCUCAGUUUCUUACUUUGAACUUUACUGUGUUCUCA